AUCAUCAGGGAUGCCUCUCCAUUUCAAAGACUACUCCACUGGUCAGUGGCCUCUACAAACCUGAUCAUCCUGAGCUGGACAUAGUACUCUGGACCUGUUCCUACCAUAGAGAUCUGGACAAAGUGAUGUCACAUAGGAAGUUUACUUGCCUUGGAAACAUGGGAGCUAUCACUGAUUUUACAGAAUUGCAUUAUAGUCCAUCAACUUUCCAGCAGGAGUCAACAAGUUUUCCUAUGUAUGUGUGUCAAGAACUUCCAUAAACUAAUUUAUUUUCAGUAAGAUGGAAAAAAUACUCAUGGAUCUCCUGCUGCUGCUUCAAGAAGGCUAUGGGCAGAUUCUGUUUGAAGGAGUAUAUAGCAUGACUUUUUUCAGUCCCAGUCAUGUAAGUGCUGCCAUAUUCCUGACAGGAAAGAAGAGGUGCCAGCAGAAUCACUGGGAGUUCUCCUUCUUACAAAGCAGCAGGAGCUGCCUGGAAGGUUCCCAAUCACUUUCUCUUGACCAGAUCUCCUUGUCUCCAUUUAUGCUAAUUUCUCACAUUCUUGGAUGCUGCUUCCAGACCAUAUUCCUAAAAUAUGAAUCAAUAAUAUUCCUCCUCUGCUCAAAAACCUACCAUGGCCUCUUAUUGCUGAUUGCUUAAAGUCUAUCCUUCCAGCAUGCAACCAGAGAAUAAAUUCAUUAGGAAAUGUAGCCCCAUUCUCUUGGUAAUACUUAUUUUCCUCUUUUCUAUACCUUGAACCCUCUGCUUUUGUCUUGUUUGGUACCAGUGUUCUACUUUUGUUGGUGGCGUGUUCUCUCCUUGAACUGCCUUUUCUUCUCCCUUUUGCCUACUCAAAUCUCUGCCUUUCCUCCAGCCCUCAUCCAUCCCUGAGGCCUUCUCUAUCUUCCUAUCAUUCAGAUAAAAAGGCCUUUUCUGCAAGAAAGGAACAAAGCCAUACAAAGGCAGAAGGGGAUUUAGGGGUGGGAAAGUUUACCCCUCACCUUUAAUUCCAUGUCGUCUAAAUAUAUAAUUGCCACAUUUCAUUCCAUUUUAACUCCACCUAGUAGAUGUUCCGUGGCAUCUUAUUUUUAAUUCUUUCAUUUAUUUUUUGAAACAGAAAGUUACCACUUUCUUCCAAAGUUGUCAGUCCUCCUCUGUGUUCUGUCUCUUUGAUGCUACCUUAUACUCAGGAUGCACAAACCUGAAAUUCCAAACAUCGUCCUUCAGAAUUCUUUUCUCUCCUUUGCUGCACAUCUGGUCUUCAAGAACUAUAGUUUCUAAUGUUAACAUCUUCUCCUCCUCUUCACUGUUGCUCCCUUAGUUGAACCUUCACCGUUUCCCUGAAGAUUUUCUGUAGCAGUCUCCCAAUAGAUCCCAUAUGCUUAAUUCAUUUUCCACGUUUGUCUUUGUUCUGAAGGGAAAAUAUGAUCAUUUAAGGAAAAAAUUCCGGAGUGGCACUCCAUUGCUUUUAGUGUACAAUUGAAAUUUUGUAGUUGAACUGCCACGUUUUCUCUGAUCUGUCUUGCUUCUUUCCUCGCAUCCUUUCUUCCUCUUACUGUCAGUCUUAUCCUUCCCCACCACUUGACCCUGAACAUGACAAGGUCCUUUAUGACCCACAUCACUCUCUCUACCUGCAAUGUGUUACCCCAUCUUUUCUCCUCAUCCCCUAUUCAAUCACCAAAAUUCCUUAAAAGAAUCAUCACAACUGAGGAAGUUUCCAGAACAUCCAGAUCUAGGUAACAUUCUAUUUCUCUGUGUGUACUUAAUCCUAUCACAGCACUUAAUCGUCACUUUUAAUGUUGGUCUGCCCAAAUAAAGUCUGAACAUUGUGAAGGCAGAGCACCUAGCAUCUAGCACAAGACCUGGCGAAAAUGAAGUCCUCGUAAAUAAUUAUGAAUGCAUGAAUAAAUAGCAUGUAAUCCAAAG
rnacentral:lncRNA from 1 species